GACGAAGGUAGCGAGCGUUGUUCGGAAUCACUGGGCAUAAAGCGCACGUAGGUGGUGUCGUAAGUCGGGUGUGAAAUCCCUCGGCCUAACCGAGGAACUGCGCCCGAUACUGCGAUGCUUGAGGAUCAGAGGGGUGCAUGGAAUUUCCGGUGGAGCGGUGAAAUGCGUUGAUAUCGGAAGGAACUCCGGCGGCGAAAGCGAUGCACUGGCUGAUUUCUGACACUGAGGUGCGAAAGCCAGGGGAGCAAACGGG
rnacentral:rRNA from 1 species